GGCGGUAUGGCGAAAUUGGUAUACGCAAUAGAUUCAAAAUCUAUGGUCAUAUGGCAUGUAGGUUCGAAUCCUACUACCGCUA
rnacentral:tRNA from 1 species